rnacentral:lncRNA from 1 species
AAAAGCCCAAUUGUGAAAAUGGCAUUCGUCAUCCCCAUGUGGUGUCCACCAUGGGGUUUGAAGGUGAAAACACGGGACAAAAUUGUAAAAACUCCAUUUUUCCCAAAUUCAAUUCAUCUUUAACCUCCUACAACCCAUUUUCUCUUAUCUUUGAUCCAUAUAAAAUCCCACUCACCCACAUUCUCUCACAAAAACUCUAAUACCCACUACCUUCCCCACAAAUCCAUCCAUUCCUCACUCUUUAAA